rnacentral:rRNA from 1 species
GACGAACGCUGGCGGCGUGCUUAACACAUGCAAGUCGAACGGAAAGGCCCUGCUUUUGUGGGGUGCUCGAGUGGCGAACGGGUGAGUAACACGUGAGUAACCUGCCCUUGACUUUGGGAUAACUUCAGGAAACUGGGGCUAAUACCGGAUAGGAGCUCCUGCUGCAUGGGGGGGGUUGGAAAGUUUCGGCGGUGGGGGCUGUACGGUCGGCUUAUUAGCUUGUUGGGUGGGGAGUGGCUAACCAAGGCAUUGACGGGUAGCCGGCCUGGGAGGGUGACCGCCCACAUUGGUACUGAGGUACGGCCCAGACUGCUACGGGGGGCAGCAGUGGGGAAUCUUGCACAAUGGGCCGACGCCUGAUGAAGAAGCGCCGCGUGCGGGAUGACGGCCUUCGGGUUGUAAACCGCUUUCGCCUGUGACGAAGCGUGAGUGACGGUAAUGGGUAAAGAAGCACCGGCUAACUACGUG